UAGCUUGUCCUGGGAUUCCGU
rnacentral:miRNA from 1 species